UACGUAGGGUGCGAGCGUUGUCCGGAAUUAUUGGGCGUAAAGAGCUCGUAGGCGGUGUGUCACGUCGGCCGUGAAAACCUGCAGCUUAACUGUGGGCGUGCGGUCGAUACGGGCAUCACUGGAGUUCGGCAGGGGAGACUGGAAUUCCUGGUGUAGCGGUGAAAUGCGCAGAUAUCAGGAGGAACACCGGUGGCGAAGGCGGGUCUCUGGGCCGAUACUGACGCUGAGGAGCGAAAGCCAGGGGAGCAAACGGG
rnacentral:rRNA from 1 species